rnacentral:rRNA from 1 species
CAUAGCCGACCUGAGAGGGUGAUCGGCCACAUUGGGACUGAGACACGGCCCAAACUCCUACGGGAGGCAGCAGUAGGGAAUCUUCGGCAAUGGACGAAAGUCUGACCGAGCAACGCCGCGUGAGUGAAGAAGGUUUUCGGAUCGUAAAACUCUGUUGUUAGAGAAGAACAAGGAUGAGAGUAACUGUUCAUCCCUUGACGGUAUCUAACCAGAAAGCCACGGCUAACUACGUGCCAGCAGCCGCGGUAAUACGUAGGUGGCAAGCGUUGUCCGGAUUUAUUGGGCGUAAAGCGAGCGCAGGCGGUUUCUUAAGUCUGAUGUGAAAGCCCCCGGCUCAACCGGGGAGGGUCAUUGGAAACUGGGAGACUUGAGUGCAGAAGAGGAGAGUGGAAUUCCAUGUGUAGCGGUGAAAUGCGUAGAUAUAUGGAG